rnacentral:lncRNA from 10 species
GCACCCUCUCCAAAGGCUGCCACCUCCAGGAAGGACACCUGGACAAUUCACCAGCUCACUGCUCUGCCCCUCCCCGCUCUGCCCCUCCCCCAAAUGCCUGGCCCUCCCCAUGCAGGACCCGCACAGACUGGGUCCCCUUCCCGGGGCUCUGAGUGGUGGGGGUGACGAGAGUGGAGGAGCUGCUGGGGCCCUGUGUGUGUGGGCUGGGGACAGGGGAGGGCAUCCUGGGGAUGGGGAUCCUUGGGCCAGGCUGCUAGUCAGUGGCCCCAAGGCAGCCCCUCCCCACUGCUUCCCCAUAGGCAGAGGCAGCCGGGAACCUGGCAGUGGUGGCCUUUCUACAGAGCCUGGAGGGUGCGGUUGGUGCCCAGGCCCCAUGCCCAGAAGUGCUGCCUGGUGUCUAACCUGAAGGCGUCCUGCUGCAGUAUAAGCCAUUCCUUCCUCCCAUGACCUGCUGGAGGGGUCUCAGGCAUGACCCCACUGCUGGGGCUGCUUCCCAGCCUGCUCUCAUGUAAAGCCUGAAGGCCUUUGUUGGGCAGGACGGCAAUAAAGUCUCUGACAUCCCCUC